rnacentral:rRNA from 1 species
GACAGAGGGUGCAAACGUUGCUCGGAAUCACUGGGCGUAAAGGGCGUGUAGGCGGGAAGGAAAGUCAGAUGUGAAAUCCCCAGGCUCAACCUGGGAACUGCAUUUGAAACUCCCUUUCUUGAGUACCGGAGAGGAGAGUGGAAUUCCUGGUGUAGAGGUGAAAUUCGUAGAUAUCAGGAGGAACACCAGUGGCGAAGGCGGCUUUCUGGACGGUAACUGACGCUGAGACGCGAAAGCGUGGGGAGCAAACAGG